AGGACGAACGCUGGCGGCGUGCUUAACACAUGCAAGUCGAGCGAGGCCCGUUCCUUCGGGAACGGUGCCCUAGCGGCGAACGGGUGAGUAACACGUGGGCAACCUGCCUCUAGCACUGGGAUAACUCCGGGAAAACCGGGGCUAAUACCGGAUACGACCUCUGAGGGCAUCCUCCGGAGGUGGAAAGCAUUGUGGCUAGAGAUGGGCCCGCGGCCUAUCAGCUUGUUGGUGGGGUAACGGCCCACCAAGGCGACGACGGGUA
rnacentral:rRNA from 1 species